UCUCGAGUCUACUCAGCGUCAUCAUUGUUGUCAAAUCGAGUCUUAAGACGUCGAAGAUUUCAUGUUUUAGAUCUGUUGGUAUUAAUUUCUUAAAACUUGGGUAUCAUUGAAAUUCCUCAUUAGACUCUGCUUGGUAAAGCAUAAACAUCAGGCCCACAACAAAUGCUGAGGAAAAUGUCUCCAGCUUGCGUGCAUGAAUUGGACAAGUUCUGCAGACAACUACCACACUUGAAUUACACAAGCCUUGUUAACAUUGUAAUAUGUCCCUCACCAUCAUCGUUUGUCACCUUUUGCAUCUAAUGUUUCUGUUCCUGUUGAUUGGUUCAAGAACCUCUUGUGUCGUAAGUGCGAGUAGCAAAAUCUGAAGGGUCUCUUGGCUGAUGCCAUGUCUACUAGUGGAAAUCAGGAAUUAUUUAAUUUACAGAGGCAUUCUAGAGCUGUUAGGUUUGCAAUUAUAAAAACUGGAAGCCCCCUCACUCAAAAAAAUUAUUGCUAAUAAAUUAAAAUCAAGUUAACUCAUUUGAGGUUCAAACACAGACCUAAGUUCAGAUAGAUGUUCAGACGGUGCCUCUACUGAAGUACCUAAGGUACUCCCAUUGCUGAAUAAACUCUGGUUCCAUGCAAAGUAAAAACAUCGUACAAACAAUCGAUAAGUUGUCAGUAGGACGAGAGGUAAAAAUAGAUUCGAGGAAAUUUAAAAUAUGGCAAAAUUUGUUGAAAGGCAAGCUUUGUUAGAACCAGGUUUUGCCAUUUUAAAAGCCCUGUUUAUGUGGUAGUUGCCAAAUAGUAUAAAGUUACGACAUAACCAAGUUAUGUGAAGUGAAUGCCAUAAAAUCAAGUAAUUCUGGUGAAUGCCUUAGAUUGGUGGCCGCGAGUUCGAUUCUCUGGCAUUCCACUGAGGGGUUAGAGAUUUUGUAUUUCUGGUGAGAUAAGUUCGCUCCCGACGUGGUUUGGAAGUCAUGUCAAGCCGUUGGUCCCGUUGCUGAAUAACCACUGGUUCCAUGCAACGUAAAAACGCCAUACAAACAAACUAUGCCUUAGACCACCUUAAAAUAUGUUUUACUGAUGAUUUUAUAAGAAUAGUGUAGCGUUAUCUGUAGGAAAAUUGCUUCCCAACAAAAGGGAAAAAUAGUCUAAGGCCAACGAUUGAACGUGGAGGGAGUAUAUACUUAUUAGGGAGACGUAAAAAUGAACUCCAUUUUCUUUUAGGAUGUAACAAGGUAGUUUUAAAUGAAAUCCAAAGGUCAUGGUGGCUAAAGGCCUGUCCACGUGAGCGGGCGUGAUCGGCGUGCUCCGGGGUUGACGGGUAAAUUCUGGCGGGCUCACCUGUGAAUGUUGUCCACAUGGGUGAGGCGAUGGAGAGAUGGGCGUGCCCGACCAUUCCAGCAGUGUCUUCAGUGCGGUACGAUAAACAUGGGGCCUACCGCAAAGAUAAUUGCUUUGUGUGUGAUGAAAAAGAAAAAAGAAAUAUGGUGCAAAGAAUGGCUCAGUAAAAGAAAUGCAUAAUGGUUAACGUACGUCUGCCAGGGUCGAAGCUCAAGCCAUCGGGCACCACCAUGGUGAUUUUGCUACAAGACCCAUCGGGCAAUUUGACGGUUUGCCCGUCAAGUGUGCCCAUUAGAGGGGAAGUCCGCCGAUCAGGCCCGAUCGUGUGGACAGGCCUUAACACAGUCCAUCGUCUGUACAGUUGUGACGUCAUAGAGUUACGGCAGACCCUGAGAUAGCAUUUUAUUGGGUAGGCUUAAAAAUAAACCCAUCCCCGGUGGUAGCGGGUUCCAUGCUCGGCCAUUCCAAUGAGGAGCGAGAGAUGUGUAUUUCUGGUGAUAGAAGUUUACUCUCGACAUGGUUCGGAAGUCACGUAAAGCCGUUGGUCCCGUUGCUGAAUAACCUCUGGUUCCAUGUAACAUAAAAGCACCAUACAAACAAACAUAUCCCGUUUUUAAUCGGCAGUUUUAAAUCCUUACUCUGUUUGAACAACCGUAUUAAGACCUUUCGCAGGGGGCUCUGAUGACAUCAUAAAGUAGCUGUGUAAGUAAAAAAAAAAAAGUGAAUUGGCAGAUUGUAAUUUGUAUUCUAUUCAUGAUUGCUGGCUGUGGUAUCUUAUUAAAAUAUAAUGAGAGGUAAUAAAGACUCCGAAAUUCAAUUACAUAGUUGCGAUUAUUUUUUUUUUUUUGUCCCGGAGCCAGCAUUGCAGUGCCUAGAGAAGGGAGUGUCCUCAGCCUGAAAAAUUAUACCCAUUCACCAGCUUCAAAUUAACGCAGACUCAAAGACCUAUUUCCUAAGCUGAGAACAGACUGCCUAUGCAAGAAAAGCCCCUAAAUACUUUCUUUGAGUUUUCCCAGAUGAAUUCCCGUUUUCUCUGUACUAAACGUUAGACCCUUAUAAAUGUAUAUUUAUUAGGCAUUUUCUUCAUUAAUUAAUUCAUGAACCAUUUUCUUCAUGCACUUAUUAACUCUCUUAUAAUUUAAUUUAUUUACUUUCCAUUACGGCGCUGAAUGGCUUCUUUGGCCCCAGUGCCUGGGCUUUUGCCCUAAAACUCAUACAUCCAUCCUAGUAAAUAUCAAAGAAAACUUAUGUACAGAACUCCAAGGGGGUAAGGCAUCAAGUUGCCACUAAAACAGGCUUAUGAUGACUCUCAUAAGGCUGCGAUUUUGUUCUUGGCAUAAGCUCUACUUAAAUGUGAAACUCCCGUAGAGUUCUACAUCCAGAAUUUCGUUCAGAUGUUUUAAGUAUAAUGGCCAGAAAACCCCAUGAAUCCAGUUCCUCUAUCUUAGAAAAACAAAUGCAGUUCUUGUUAGACUUCAUUGCCCAGGAUUCCCUUACGUCUUACUAUAGAAAACGGGUCUCAUUCCCCUUCAUAGAAAACUGAGAAACACUAGUCAAAGGAUGAGAUACUACGAUACGUAUUCAUGCGUCUUGACCACUUAUAAACUGACUUAGCAACUGACAAAAUUCUUGUCUUGAGAGCUUUGAUGGGUAAUAGAUUUAUAUUAAUAAAUAUGAACAUUUAUCCUUAUUUUCAGCGAUAUUUACAUGUAAACCACUUAUUUUUUCACAGUGGAAUAAACUAGAAUAAGUAGUCCUAGGCAUAUACCCAACCA